rnacentral:rRNA from 1 species
CCUACGGGUGGCAGCAGUGGGGAAUCUUGCACAAUGGGGGAAACCCUGAUGCAGCGACGCCGCGUGAGCGAUGAAGCCCUUCGGGGUGUAAAGCUCUUUCGGCAGGGAAGAUGAUGACGGUACCUGCAGAAGCAGCUGCGGCUAACUACGUGCCAGCAGCCGCGGUAAUACGUAGGCAGCAAGCGUUGUUCGGAGUUACUGGGCGUAAAGGGUGUGUAGGCGGUUUGGUAAGUCUGGUGUGAAAUCUCCCGGCUCAACUGGGAGGGUGCGCCGGAAACUGCCGGACUCGAGUGCGGGAGAGGAGAGUGGAAUUCCUGGUGUAGCGGUGAAAUGCGUAGAUAUCAGGAGGAACACCGGUGGUGUAGACGGCUCUCUGGACCGUAACUGACGCUGAAACACGAAAGCGUGGGUAGCAAACAGGAUUAGAUACCCUAGUAGUC